UGGCAGGGGAUCAGUCUCUGGGGCACAUCUAGAUGUCCUGGUCUCCACUGGCAUUUCAGGGGAAUUAUUAAGUUUGCCCACAAAACCAGUGCAAAUAACUCAGCGCUGACCUGCCGGAUGGCUUUGGAAGGGCAACCUCCCAGAGGGACGGCGUUGGGAGCUUAAUUAGAAUGUCAGGAGACACUUUCAAAGUAGUGUGAGAUGAGAGUCCACUCCAAUGGGAAACCCGAGCCGAUCGUCUUUCCCAGUUCAAGGCAAAUUGUUGAAUGGGAUCAGACGCAAGGAAUCACAUCUUCUGCAGCGGCUCCUCUGGUAGCAUCUUGCUAAGGUCAAGUCAUUCAUGACGGCCUCCCUGAAGCGGCAGCUGCUCGGUGUAAGGUUACGAUUUCACCUGCGUGCGGCAGUAACGCAGGAACUGGCAUGUCAUUGAGGAGCGGGUUGUUUUCUGGGCAUCAGCUCGUGUGUCUUGCAGGGAGGGAUGAUGAAACUCGAACACUUCGUGCGGUAGUGUGUUAAAUCAGCAUCAGAGAUUAUUAGCAGCAGGCCUGCGUGGAAUUAGCGACUGGAUAGUUGCGACAAAGACGGGAAGCAUUUUAGUGGAUGCAUAAUGAAGAGCAAAGGAUGUGUUUUAGAUACCAACUAUUGCAUCUCGGCCAUAUGGGAACGCAAUAUUGGAAGUGCUGCUUCAGUGGAUUCCUGAGGCACCUCCUGUUACCGUCACUGAACUUCCUGCCGAAAGACGGGCUGAUUUAGUGCUCAGGGAUGGAGUGGAAGAGAAAGAUCUGCACCUGGGUCAGAGCACAGCAAACCAGCGAACCCUCAGAAGUGACCAUUUAUACAAGAGUUCAGGAGUCUGCGCGCCGUCUUUCUCGUGUGGGUUUGAAGCCUUGGGCCGCGGUGAAGGGGUUAUUUGAGCAGCUUCCAUCUACCGCUGGGCUCGUUCCAAGGGAAAGUGUAGAGUUGGGCCAAAAUCCGCGGACAGCUACUGAUGAGAUCUGCCGAGUCCAAAAAUGUGAGCGCAAUAAAACAGCGGCAUGAGGAAAAGCUGGACGUCCUCCUGGGCUGCAUUAGCGAGAUCUGAAUGGUUUGCGGUGGAUUGCGAGGGAUUCGCACACUUCUGAGGAGCCGAUUUGACCUGGACGCAGAGGUUAAAGGUCAAGUUCACCUCGUUUCCCAGUGGUUUAUUUGAUUUCACUGCAUCUUCUCUCUAGCUUACAUUUAAGUGGACAAUAACUUGAGAGGCACACUAAAACCUCAAUUAUAACAAUAUAUUACAAAACAAUAAUUGGAAAAAAAAUGUACUGUACAUUAGAGAAAAGUGUUUCUGAUAUACCUGACUUUUAAAAAAAUAAUCAUAACAUUUUAUAUGUAUUAUUAAUUGUGAUACACAAGCAUGAAGACAGGGAAAUGAUAAUAUUUGGUGGUUUAAAAUGCUGUAAAAUUAAAAAAAAAAAUUAAAUCAGCUGUAUUCGUACUGUACUGGGUUACAAAGAUAUACCUGUACAUUUGGGGGAAAUCCUUUGUUAGUCAAGUUAAGUCUGCUUUAUUGUCAAUUCUUCCACAUGUACAGUACAUACAUACAGAGAAUCGAAAUUGCGUUACUCUCAGACCCCCGGUGCAUACAGAUAACACAAACCGUAGAGCCUAAAAAUCUAGAUCAAAUAUAAAAUAUAAGAUAAAACUAUACAAUAAGGGAAUGUAAAAAAGUAUCACGGAAACAUGGUAUAUAAAAAUAUAUAGUAAAAAUAAGAUAGACGCCAUGGAGGCACAGGGAAAAUUGUAAUUUGGUGGUUUAAAAUGCUGUGAAAUGUUUCAAAAUAAUCUUUAUAUCAAUCAGCAAUAAGACCAUGAUCUUUUUUCGGGGACAUAAAAUGCACUAAAUACCAGGAAUGACUCAUAACCUGUAUUAAAAUUAACGAGCAUUAAAUAAACGUUUGUUAAUAGUAACUGUUACAUGAAAUGUAAUGUAAUUUCAGAGGCAGAGCAAGUUAUUUAAUCUGAAGAGUGAUUACGAAGACAAACAUUUUCAUUGAAAUGACAUGCACUGCUGAAUAAUUUGCAAAAAAGACCACAAGCAUUUAUAAAGAAAACAAGUAGAUUCAAAUUUAUUCUGUUGUCUUUAAAACUUGACUGAGUAAAGUAUGAUCACACGGGGAUCUUGAUUUUUGAUUGGCCACUUCAGCUCAUCCGACGGUUCUUCCACCAGCGCUUUUAAUGUCAACUGCGUUCAUUUCAGUCUCAGCUGAUCACUGCUGUUACGUAUCAGGUUACUAGUUCUCCAGCCAACUCACUCCCACCGAAAUCUCCCUUCCUCUUACACAAACACAUACGAUGCCACCGUAUUACGUGUUGUCCAAGCAUUUGAGCAUUAAAAAAGGUUACCGUCCAAAUUCAUCCAUGCAUGUGCGUUUUCAAGCUUUGCUCAUCAGUUAACGAGAAAAUUAUGUGAUUUUCACUUUUGCGCGAAUUGCAACUGGUGCACAUGUGGAAGUCAGUCAGUCACACCCAUAGUGUAACACUAUACCUUCCCUGGAUGGGCCUUUAAGGGCUUUUAGACACAAGUUGUCCCGGCUUUUCCUCUGAUUGAGCGAUUCAACACAUCAUAUAUAGAAACAGCUGUGCUACAAAUGAGCCCCUUCACGGUGACUUUGAUAAAUGUGCUGAAUUGACUGCAUACAAGCCCUCAGGACGACGGCCUCCUGCGAUUUCCUUCCCUGUCAAGUUAAACGUUUCUUAACUACACGUUUGUCCGUUUCAGUGCGCUCCUCGUACGCCGUUCUAUCACCGAGCUGGAAGCAAAUUUUUAAGAACUCUGUCAUUACAGGGAAGCGCAAUUCAAGCUGUGUAAAUACGAAUUCAUAUACAGACCACCGUCCUCAAGAGCGGUUUAAAUCAUAAGCACAUUAGGCAUUGUACAUAAUCCCAGCCGCAUGUAUAAAUCACCGCACUGCUGCAGUAAUGAGUGGUAAUGCUGGGAAUACACUAACUAUGAGAGUGUUCAGUGUUCAUGACCCCUCAUGACAAACGCUUUACUGUGUUUCUCUCAUAGUCUUAGCACAAAUAUUUCACAUUCAUACACACAUCUUCCCACUGCAUACAGAAAAAUAGAUUUGGUGCGUUGGUAUGUAAAUUUAGAUUUACAUAUUUAUUAUUUUAAAUGAAGUAUUCAUAUCAGGAAUUUUUGCUUGUUUUCAUUCAAUUUAAAGGGUUAGUUCACCUAAAAAAUUAAAUUAGCCUGUUAUUUGCUCACCCUCAAGCAAUAGGUGUACAGUAUAUGACUUUCUUCUUUAAAGGCCUUUAUUUACACCCUGGAGACGUGUGAGACAUGUUUUAUUAUGGAUGGGCGCACUUUAUUUAACAUGUUUUGGACUGAAACGGAAACACCCGCCUACUGCAAUGAUAACGCUUAGAAGAGCCAGGACAGUGUUUAAUAUAACUCCAAUUGGAUUCGUCUGAAAGAAGAAAGUCAUAUACACCUAGGAUGCCUCGAGGGUGAGUAAAACAGACAAAUUUUCAUUUUUGGGUUAACGAAUCCUUUAAGAAGGUGCUGUAAAUUGAAUGAUAUAUUCUAUUGUAAUUGUACGAUACUAUGAUAUAUCGUGCAUGCAACUUGUUUUAUUGUGUAUUGACAGUUUUAUUGAAAAAAUCACAAAUUUUGGCUACCAUUAAUCUAGGCUACAUCCAUUUUGUCCAACAUGUUUUCAACCCCAACAAGCUUCAAGAAAAUCCCAAGUUUCCUACUCGUAAUUACGACUUUGUGGUGACGUUUGUGCGUGUUCAGCUGGUAAAAACAAUGUUUUAUACAGUGCAUGGUUUGAAUGGGAAUAGUGAUGUUCGGUUCUUGAACGAAUGGUUCGAAUCGUUGUUUUGAGUCGGUUCUCAGGAAGUAACCGGAUGAGAAGAUUUUAGUUUCGGGUUGAUGAUGCAUGACGCACAGCCGAAGUAGCACGUCCAACUCAAAAAGAAAUGAAUAAGCCGGUUCAACCACCUGUUGAAGUUUGCCGAGGAUUACCGAAGAUUCUGAGUGAGUUGACGAUUCUGUGCAAGCCUGAGGCGCGUUCUGGAAAUAUGCUUAUUAUGAUUGUUAUUAAUUUACAUUUUAUUAAAACCUGCAACAACCUUUCUGUCGAGUGAUGUAAAUAAAUUUUACAAUAGUUAAUUGUGCAUGUAUAUUAUAUUUAAAGUUGCUUAAAAAUCAAGGAGUUUAUAAGACAUGUAGAACAUAUCUGUGUUUGUGCAUCAGUGUCUGUAAUGUGUGCUGUAGGUUUAAAACUUUUAGGAAUCUAAGCCAAGUUGUAGGCUAGUCAAUAUUGGUCAGUCAGUCGUAUGAGGAUCCGCGAAUGAAACUGACCACAAACACCAUUAACUUAACUUAAGUGAAUUAUAUGGCAAUAAUCAGCAGUAUGCUUUCACACAAAUAACUUUGUUUUUGAAUGUUUCAAUAUGUGUUGACACAAAUAUCGAUAUCGAAAUAUGUUCGUUCAUCUCCUCUCUUGAUACAGGUGAGGUUCACACGUUCCCCUCUUUUUUCAGGCUUGAUUGGAUGUUCUUGCGACGCGACGUGUUUGUGCCUUUCCCUAACAAUCACGUAGUUGGUCUGUAGAUUCGGUUAUUUAACAACUAGAAAGGAGUUUGAAACAGCUUGUGGUGAAUUUUACCACAUGAGUUGUAGAAUAUAGCAAAAUGGGUCUUUAUAUUUGUCUAUUUUUUUGGUCAAGCAGCAGUAUUUAAUUUACUGAUAAUCGCUGCUCACCUUCAAAGUUAGCAUCUUAUUUAUUUCUUGUUGCUGUGGAAUUACAAUGGACGUUUUUGUACCCUGUAAUGGGCUCUUUUUUCUUAGUGGAAGCUUUAAGAUAAUCUACAUCCUUAAUCUUAUAUUUUGCAAUAAUGACUGGCUAACUGUACUGUUACUUGUAGUUCAAUUAGUCUGAUUAGUAAACUUUUACUUUUCAGUUAGGUCUAACGUUACUUGACAUAUGGACCUUUUCACAAGACCGGGAUGAUGCACUUUAAUGGUCAUCAGCAUCUUCAAAAGUUUUUUAGAAUUAUUUUUAAAUGUAUGUACAUUUAUAAUACUAUAAUUCGUAUUAUAUCACCUUUGCAUCAAAUGACAAAAAAAAACAACUAGUUAACGCUAACACAAGGGUGUUUCUAAUGCAGCGUCUGUGGGAGGGAUUGUAAAUUUGACAUCGUUCUCUCUUCUGACUGCCGUUAUCAGUCUCUCUCAAUUUUUCUCUUUUAUUGAAAGUCAUGAAAACACUAUAGUGGAGUUUUAUUUUGGUUUUUGAGCAAAUUGGGAAUGCAAAAAAUAUGUUUGCGGUACUCUCCCAUUUACUGCUCUUCAAGUUAACCCAACUAUGACGACUUCCGUUGUGAGAAACCAAGAAAUGUGAAAAAGGUCCAUUGUAAAGAUUUUUAGCUGCUCUGUCAGCAUUUUCAUAAGCCCCAAAACAAAUAUUAUAAAUAGCUAUUUUAGGCAACAGUCAUAUAUGUGACAGAGUAAUGUGAUUUAGAUGUUUUUAUCAGCUGUUUGGACUCUCAUUCUGACGGCACCCAUUCACUGCAGAGCAUCCAUUGCUGAGCAACUGAUGCAGUGCUGCAUUUCUCCAAAUCUGAGGAAGAAACAAACUCAUCUACAUUUUGGAUGAUCUGAGAGUGACGCCUCCAACCACCUGAGACUUUUUACGAUCCUGAUGCGUUAAAUCAAGUUGAGAGAUCCCAUUUCAAUCACAAAACGGAAGUAAAGUGGCUUACUGACGCUGCUUCAUGUUGACUUUAAAGGAGAAGAGCUUGAGUACCACAUAAUGUUUCCAAGAAUGGCUAAAUAAUAUUUCCACAGGCAAAUUCUUCUAAGUGGAUGCACCCAAUGUGGGCAGAAGAUCCCUAAAUAGAAACUCUUAUGAAAGGCAACAUCGAAUAGUGGUUUGGGCCACAAAAUGACUGAUCUAUCAUACCACCUCAGACUUAAACGCUCGCACAGAUUUUCUGUUUUCACGUGCCAAAACUAUCAUAUAAAUGGACUUUUUCCAAACCCUUCCAAGGCAGCGUCAGGUAAACCUUUUUCCGCCAUAGAAAGAUGUUUAGGUGGCGUUUCAUACAAGCAGUCAGUCGUCUUUGAUGUUUAUUAAUCGUCAACCGAUUGCACCCGAGGGACUUCUGGUUCCUAGGGUCUCGCCGUCAAGGGCCCACAGUCUUGCGGUGCCUUAUGUCCGUUCCAUUUUAGGCAGUGGAAGCAUUAGAGAAGCAGGGUGCUGACAGUGGGCAUGCCAACACAGUCCUACAGCUUCCAUAAACAAAACCUUCGGAUUAGUCAGGCCGUAUUUAACUGGCAUCAGUGGAUCAUCAAAGUGAACGCCAAGGCAACACUAAAACAUAUGCAACGCUCCUUCAAUAAACCACCGAACGACUUAAGAAAGGCUCCCAAAUGUGCAGCAGAUGGCUUGUGGAAUUUCUAAACAAAGAGAUACCCAUCUAUUAUAUCGAAAGCGCUUUACGUUUUAUUUGGACCUCUGCUGUCUCUCAUCACUCUCGGAGCAUGACAGUAAUUAUAGCCAUCAAGGUGUUCCCUUGGAAACGUCGCGGCGCUGCUUAAUCUCAGAAGCCCCGGCUGACAUCACGGCGUAGUUUAUUUUAAAGUGGCUGAAGUAUGUAAUGGCUGUAAUUGCAGACAGACCAGAUUUACACAGACAACUGUCAGGAGGGCUAAUCCAUAAAUCAGCUUAACCAGUACUCUGAGAGUAAUGCUAUAACAAAACGGCACGGCGUACCAAAUUUUACUGGAGUAAAGCAAUUUGUUUAAUCGCUGCGUAAAUGCUGUGACGUGCCUUGGUCUGUGGUGAACUGUGACGAUCAGAGCAAUCAGAUGGUAUAGAGAUGUCAAAAGUAUGGUGCUUUGAUACCAAAUCAAUACUAAUGUUUAAAAAAUGAAUGCAUAUAUUAUAAAAGUAUGUGCUUUUAUAUGCAUCUGUCUAAAAGGAUGCAUAUAUCAUGCAUAUCAGUUCAACGUGCUUUGUGGUAAAAUGGCGGGGAAUUAGCAAUCUAAUGCACUUAUUGGUCAAAAAUGCCUGUAACAGAACAGUUGUUUUGACUUAUGUAAAUGUAAAUGGUUGGGACCAAAAAAAAAAAACAAAAAAAAAAAAAAACAGUGUAAAUGCUUAUUAUCAUUAAUUUUAAUGUUGUAAAUAUUCUGUUUGGUUGUUGUUGUUUUUUCUUCACAAAAAGGUUUAAUUUGUUAACAUUAGUUAAUUCAUUAGCUAACAUGAACGAUGAACGAUAUUUUGUGUAUAUAGCAUUUAAUAAUCUGGGUUUUUAAUUUUUUGUGAGUUCACAGUUCAUUAAUUAAUGUUAACAGAUACAACUUCUAAAUUUAAAAAUGUAUUAGUAAAUGUCAGAAUCAACGUAAACUAAAUUAUCUAGAGGUUUUGU
ensembl:lncRNA